GACGAACGCGGCGGCGUGCUUAACACAUGCAAGUCGAACGAAGAGCGAUGGAAGCUUGCUUCUAUCAAUCUUAGUGGCGAACGGGUGAGUAACGCGUAAUCAACCUGCCCUUCAGAGGGGGACAACAGUUGGAAACGACUGCUAAUACCGCAUACGAUCUAACCUCGGCAUCGAGGAAAGAUGAAAGGUGGCCUCUAUGUAUAAGCUAUCACUGAAGGAGGGGAUUGCGUCUGAUUAGCUAGUUGGAGGGGUAACGGCCCACCAAGGCGAUGAUCAGUAGCCGGUCUGAGAGGAUGAACGGCCACAUUGGGACUGAGACACGGCCCAGACUCCUACGGGAGGCAGCAGUGGGGAAUCUUCCGCAAUGGACGAAAGUCUGACGGAGCAACGCCGCGUGAGUGAUGACGGCCUUCGGGUUGUAAAGCUCUGUUAAUCGGGACGAAGGGCCUUCUUGCGAAUAGUAGAAGGA
rnacentral:rRNA from 1 species